CAAAUCCAGACAUGAAAGCCAAGAAAUUAAACAAGCUGCCAGCCUCAGAUUUCAGCGUUUCUUCAUGCUGACCCCAUCACCCUCCUGGGGAGGUCUUCGUGGCCACGCAGCUUCCAGCGAUGUUACAAAGAGUGACUAUGAUAAAUUUACUAAGGUGGACAGAAACCCUUUGGACCCUUCACCUCAGCAGCUUCCAUCCCCACCAGGGCUUUUCCUGGACACAGGGAGUGUCAGCAAGGAGACCUGGGCAUCCUGAGCCAGGGGAACACAUUGUCAUCUUGCACUCACACACAGGUCCCAGCCAGGCCACAGCAGUUACCCCUGUGUGCAUCCCCAGCUCUCACCACGCUGCUGUGUACUGGGGCUGGAGCUCUGCUACAACGGCAGCACUUCAGUCCUUGCAGCUGUGGAGGAUGGGGGAACAGCUGGGGAUGGCACGGAACAUUAUUCAUUUGGUGACUCAGCCAUUCUAG
rnacentral:lncRNA from 1 species